GUAUUUUAAGUCAUCUGUAUCUAUUCCUUUACUAGAUGCAAAUGAUUAAAAAUAUGA
rnacentral:pre_miRNA from 1 species